rnacentral:rRNA from 1 species
AGAGUUUGAUCAUGGCUCAGAACGUACGCUGGCGGCACGCCUAACACAUGCAAGUCGAACGAAGUAGCAAUACUUAGUGGCAGACGGGUGAGUAACAUGUAGGUAUCUGCCCUUUGGCCUGGAAUAACACGAGGAAACUUGUGCUAAUACCGGAUAAGUCUUUACGGAGAAAGCUUUAUGCACCAUUGGAUGAGCCUGCACUUGAUUAGUUUGUUGGUGGGGUAAUGGCCUACCAAGACUGUGAUCAAUAGCUGAUUUGAGAGGAUGAUCAGCCACAUUGGGACUGAGACACGGCCCAAACUCCUACGGGAGGCAGCAGUGGGGAAUCUUGCACAAUGGAGGAAACUCUGAUGCAGCGAUGCCGCGUGAGUGAAGAAGGCCCUUGGGUUGUAAAGCUCUUUCGUCGGGGAAGAAAAUGACUGUACCCGAAUAAGAAGGUCCGGCUAACUUCGUGCCAGCAGCCGCGGUAAUACGAAGGGACCUAGCGUAGUUCGGAAUUACUGGGCUUAAAGAGUUCGUAGGUGGUUGAAAUAGUUGGUGGUGAAAUCCCAGAGCUUAACUCUGGAACUGCCAUCAAAACUUUUCAGCUAGAGUAUGAUAGAGGAAAGCAGAAUUUCUAGUGUAGAGGUGAAAUUCGUAGAUAUUAGAAAGAAUACCAAUUGCGAAGGCAGCUUUCUGGAUCAUUACUGACACUGAGGAACGAAAGCAUGGGUAGCGAAGAGGAUUAGAUACCCUCGUAGUCCAUGCCGUAAACGAUGUGUGUUAGACGUUGGAAAUUUAUUUUCAGUGU